GCGGCCCGUACCCUAAACCGACUCAGGUGGUCAGGUAGAGAAUACCGAGGCGUUCGGGUGAACUAUGGUUAAGGAACUCGGCAAAAUGCCCCCGUAACUUCGGGAGAAGGGGGGCCACAUCCGGUGAUCCGAUUUACUCGGUGAGCUGGGGGUGGCCGCAGAGACCAGCGAGAAGCGACUGUUUACUAAAAACACAGGUCCGUGCGAAGCCGUAAGGCGAUGUAUACGGACUGACGCCUGCCCGGUGCUGGAACGUUAAGGGGACCGGU
rnacentral:rRNA from 1 species